GAUGAAGAACGCAGCGAAAUGCGAUACGUAAUGUGAAUUGCAGAAUUCAGUGAAUCAUCGAAUCUUUGAACGCAUAUUGCGCUCUCUGGUAUUCCGGAGAGCAUGCUUGUUUGAGUAUCAGUAAACACCUCAACUUCCAUAUCUUUUUUGAAAUGGGAGUUGGACUUGAGUGAUCCCAACGCUUUUCCUCACCGAAAAGUGGCGGGUUACUUGAAAUGCAGGUGCAGCUGGACUUUUCUCUGAGCUAUAAGCAUAUCUAUUUAGUCUGCCUAAAAAACAGGUUAUUACCUUUGCUGCAGCUAACAUAAAGGAGAUUAGUUCUUGUGCUGACUGAUGCAGGAUUCACAAAGACAGGCUUCGGCCGACUUUGUAAACUCGAUCUCAAAUCAAGUAAGACUACCCGCUGAACUUAAGCAUAUCAAUAAGCGGAGGA
rnacentral:misc_RNA from 1 species